rnacentral:lncRNA from 1 species
UUCGAGUCCCAUAACCGUACCUUACUCUGUGCCAGGCCUGUAGACUGGGGCCUGGACUUGCUUACUCUGUGCCAGGCCUGUAGCAUGGGGCCUGGUCUUCCUGUCUUGGACUAAUUGGGUCAUCCAACAUUCACCCACAACAACAACAAUUUAUGCAAUGCGACAUAUUCGUGAAACUAAUGCAAUCAUCCUAUUGCAUAAUCAUGAUGCAUGAAAC